UACGUAGGGACCGAGCGUUGUCCGGAAUCAUUGGGCGUAAAGAGCGUGUAGGCGUCCUGUUAAGUCUUGCGUGAAAUCUCGGGGCUCAACCCCGAGCGGUCGUGAGAAACUGGCAGGCUAGAGUGCGGGAGAGGAGAAUGGAAUUCCUGGUGUAGCGGUGAAAUGCGCAGAUAUCAGGAGGAACACCGGUGGCGAAGGCGGGUCUCUGGGCAGUAACUGACGCUGAGGAGCGAAAGCGUGGGGAGCGAACAGG
rnacentral:rRNA from 1 species